ACCGUACUCCUACGGGAGGCAGCAGUGGGGAAUAUUGGACAAUGGGCGCAAGCCUGAUCCAGCAAUGCCGCGUGAGUGAUGAAGGCCUUAGGGUUGUAAAGCUCUUUCGCACGCGACGAUGAUGACGGUAGCGUGAGAAGAAGCCCCGGCUGACUUCGUGCCAGCAGCCGCGGUAAUACGAAGGGGGCUAGCGUUGUUCGGAAUUACUGGGCGUAAAGGGCGCGUAGGCGGCCUGUUUAGUCAGAAGUGAAAGCCCCGGGCUCAACCUGGGAAUAGCUCUUGAUACUGGCAGGCUUGAGUUCCGGAGAGGAUGGUGGAAUUCCCAGUGUAGAGGUGAAAUUCGUAGAUAUUGGGAAGAACACCGGUGGCGAAGGCGGCCAUCUGGACGGACACUGACGCUGAGGCGCGAAAGCGUGGGGAGCAAACAGGAUUAGAAACCCCAGUAGUCCUUGAC
rnacentral:rRNA from 1 species